GGGUGAUAGUCCCGUACACCAAAAUGCACAGGCUGUGAACUCGAAGAGUAGGGCGGGACACGUGGUAUCCUGUCUGAAUAUGGGGGGACCAUCCUCCAAGGCUAAAUACUCCUGACUGACCGAUAGUGAACCAGUACCGUGAGGGAAAGGCGAAAAGAACCCCGGCGAGGGGAGUGAAAAAGAACCUGAAACCGUGUAC
rnacentral:rRNA from 1 species